AUACGUAGGGGGCGAGCGUUGUCCGGAAUGAUUGGGCGUAAAGGGCGCGUAGGCGGCCCGGUAAGUCUGGAGUGAAAGUCCUGUUUUUAAGAUGGGAAUUGCUUUGGAUACUGUCGGGCUUGAGUGCAGGAGAGGUAAGUGGAAUUCCCAGUGUAGCGGUGAAAUGCGUAGAGAUUGGGAGGAACACCAGUGGCGAAGGCGACUUACUGGGCCGUAACUGACGCUGAGGCGCGAAAGCGUGGGGAGCGAACAGGAUUAGAUACCCUGGUAGUCCACGCGGUAAACGAUGAAUGCUAGGUGUUGCGGGUAUCGACCCCUGCAGUGCCGGAGUAAACACAAUGAGCAUUCCGCCUGGGGAGUACGGCCGCAAGGUUGAAACUCAAAGGAAUUGACGGGG
rnacentral:rRNA from 1 species